rnacentral:rRNA from 1 species
UACGUAGGGGGCGAGCGUUGUCCGGAGUUACUGGGCGUAAAGGGCGUGCAGGCGGUGCGGUAAGUUUAGCGUGACAGUCUCCGGCUUAACUGGAGAAGGCCGCUGAAAACUGCUGGACUUGAGGGCCAGAGAGGGACAUAGAAUUCCGGGUGGAGUGGUGAAUGCGUAGAUAUCCGGAGGAAUACCAAAGGCGAAGGCAGUGUCCUGGCUGGCACUGACGCUGAGGCGACGAAAGCUAGGGGAGCGAACAGG